rnacentral:rRNA from 1 species
UACGUAGGGACCAAGCGUUGUUCGGAUUUACUGGGCGUAAAGGGCGCGUAGGCGGCUUGUCAAGUCACUUGUGAAAUCUCUGGGCUUAACCCAGAACGGCCAAGUGAAACUGACAUGCUAGAGUGCAGAAGGGGCAAUCGGAAUUCUUGGUGUAGCGGUGAAAUGCGUAGAUAUCAAGAGGAACACCUGAGGUGAAGACGGGUUGCUGGGCUGACACUGACGCUGAGGCGCGAAAGCCAGGGAGCAAACGGG